GACGAACGCUGGCGGCGUGCUUAACACAUGCAAGUCGAACGGAAAGGCCCUGCUUUUGUGGGGUGCUCGAGUGGCGAACGGGUGAGUAACACGUGAGUAACCUGCCCUUGACUUUGGGAUAACUUCAGGAAACUGGGGCUAAUACCGGAUAGGAGCUCCUGCUGCAUGGUGGUGGUUGGAAAGUUUCGGCGGUUGGGGAUGGACUCGCGGCUUAUCAGCUUGUUGGUGGGGUAGUGGCUUACCAAGGCUUUGACGGGUAGCCGGCCUGAGAGGGUGACCGGCCACAUUGGGACUGAGAGACGGCACAGACUCCUACGGGAGGAAGCAGGGGGGAAUAUUGCACAAUGGGCGGAAGCCUGAUGCAGCAACGCCGCGUGCGGGAUGACGGCCUUCGGGUUGUAAACCGAUUUCGCCUGUGACGAAGCGUGAGUGACGGUAAUGGGUAAAGAAGCACCGGCUAACUACGUG
rnacentral:rRNA from 1 species